rnacentral:rRNA from 1 species
GCAGUCGAGCGGAUGACGGGGAGCUUGCUCCCCUGAUUCAGCGGCGGACGGGUGAGUAACACGUGGGCAACCUGCCUGUAAGAUCGGGAUAACUCCGGGAAACCGGGGCUAAUACCGGAUGGUUCCUUCCUCCGCAUGGAGGAAGGCGGAAAGACGGUUUCGGCUGUCACUUACAGAUGGGCCCGCGGCGCAUUAGCUAGUUGGUGGGGUAAUGGCCCACCAAGGCAACGAUGCGUAGCCGACCUGAGAGGGUGAUCGGCCACACUGGGACUGAGACACGGCCCAGACUCCUACGGGAGGCAGCAGUAGGGAAUCUUCCGCAAUGGACGAAAGUCUGACGGAGCAACGCCGCGUGAGCGAAGAAGGCCUUCGGGUCGUAAAGCUCUGUUGUAAGGGAAGAACAAGCAUCGGUUAACUGCCGGUGCCCUGACGGUACCUUACCAGAAAGCCACGGCUAACUACGUGCCAGCAGCCGCGGUAAUACGUAGGUGGCAAGCGUUGUCCGGAAUUAUUGGGCGUAAAGCGCGCGCAGGCGGUUUCUUAAGUCUGAUGUGAAAGCCCACGGCUCAACCGUGGAGGGUCAUUGGAAACUGGGAGACUUGAGUGCAGAAGAGGAAAGCGGAAUUCCACGUGUAGCGGUGAAAUGCGUAGAGAUGUGGAGGAACACCAGUGGCGAAGCGGCUUUCUGGUCUGUAACUGACGCUGAGGCGCGAAAGCGUGGGGAGCAACAGAUUAGAUACCCUGGUAGUCCACGCCCGUAAACG